GGAUUCUGGAAGAAAGAAGACCCCAGGUGGUGAGAGCCCCAGGAAGGGUCACAAAGAAUCCAGUCUGGCUAGGGGCCCUGCCCUUUCUGCUCAUCAUCAUCUUUAUUAGAAUAUCACAUUUCCCACACCUAGAAUCACCUCCUCCUCCUGUCCGCUUUGACCAUAAACCUUCCACGGGUCCCUGAUUUUUGUCAUACCCGGAGAUAUUCUGCAUAUUUGAAAUAUUUUAUAAUCGAUGGCUUGUAUGAACUUUUUUGACAAGGCAUUCGGUGCUACGAGGACACGGUGGCUCCUGCAGCGCUGACCGGAGGCUCUGAACAACACCCAAGUUGCCACAGAGAUUACAUCCCACCUCUGGAAUGUUACCUUUAUCAUGUGAGAGGGGAGCUGUGGUCCGAUAAACCCUGACGCAGCCUGCUUGUUGUUGACAACACGUUGGCUGAUCACAGGUCGGGGUGAGGACUGGCCGGGGCUGUGAGUGGAAUGAGUGAGUUCACCUCCAUUUUUCACAUCGUGGGACCUGGGGACAGAGAGGGACAGCAGUUAAGGCUUCACAGGGCACGUUCUUAGGAGAGAUUCACCUGGAGCCCCCCAGAGACCAGAACAAGAAGCUGCAGCGCAUGGAGUUUCGCACAGGAUCCCCUCUGGGUCAAGCUACUAUAAAUGAACACCUCAGAGCACACAUCAGAGUUUUCCUAAGACCACGCACUUCCAGAAAUGGAAUUAGUGAGACAGAGCGUGCAGCAGCAACGGGGAGCAGUGAGCCGGUGCCCGGCCAGGCCCGGCCAGGAACGUGGCUAGCUGCCUACGCCCAGUGGUUGAGAGGUAACCCCACGCAGGUCCUCAGAGGCCCCUUCCUGAGGCCUCCACACCCUGCCUCCCUGGCCCCAGGCUCCUACCAGGUGCUGCCCGCGGCAGCCCGCCCUCCUCCACCAUCACUGGGCACCUUCUCUGCGUGCUUCCCUAUCAGCUGGCCACGGGGUUGGAAGCUAAAUCCUAAUCCACAUCCAAAAACUACCUCCCUUACUCUGCUGGCCCCAGUCAGCUGAUAUUUCAAUAACCAAAUACGGAAUUUAAAUAUGCUGUUGAGAUAAAGAGAAAGGACACAACAGAAAAUGUGAAAAUCCGUUUUCCUGCCGGUACCU